GGUUGUGGCUCAGUGGUAGAGCGUUUGCCUACCAUUUGUGAGGCACUGAGUUUGAUCCUCAGCACCA
rnacentral:tRNA from 1 species